rnacentral:tRNA from 1 species
GCCGAUAUAGCUCAAUUGGCAGAGCAGCUGAUUUGUAAUCAGCAGGUUGUAGGUUCGAUUCCUAUUGUCGGCU